AGGACGAACGCUGGCGGCGUGCUUAACACAUGCAAGUCGAACGGUAAGGCCCUUCGGGGUACACGAGUGGCGAACGGGUGAGUAACACGUGGGUGAUCUGCCCUGCACUUCGGGAUAAGCUUGGGAAACUGGGUCUAAUACCGGAUAUGACUACGAAUCGCAUGGUUUGUGGUGGAAAGCUUUUGCGGUGUGGGAUGGGCCCGCGGCCUAUCAGCUUGUUGGUGGGGUGAUGGCCUACCAAGGCGACGACGGGUAGCCGGCCUGAGAGGGUGUCCGGCCACACUGGGACUGAGAUACGGCCCAGACUCCUACGGGAGGCAGCAGUGGGGAAUAUUGCACAAUGGGCGCAAGCCUGAUGCAGCGACGCCGCGUGAGGGAUGACGGCCUUCGGGUUGUAAACCUCUUUCAGUAUCGACGAAGCGCGAAGUGACGGUAGGUACGAGAAGAAGGACCGGCAACUACGCGCCAGCAGCCGCGUAA
rnacentral:rRNA from 1 species